UGCAUGUCCUAAACAGCAUCAGUGAGUAACUUGAACCCUCUUAGUUCAACGAGUGGAUCAGAUACGAGGAUUUCAACGAGAAUGGUUGCCAAGUGAGCACCCAGUUCGAUGCCCUAAUCCUACGUAGACAGUAUGCUUUUUGUUCUUUUCCUUUUUUGUUUUAUAGGAUUUGAUGGAUUUUUUAUGGAUCUGUAAUGGCAGCCGGUGGAGUUGUGGUGAUGGUGAUGGUGAUGCCAAAUGUAGAGGGUGGAAGCAGAGGUUUUGAUAGGCUCGGCAGUUGUGUGCCGCAGAGUUGUGGCAGCUAGUUGAAGAUGUGGUGAUGGUGAUUUGCUGUUGAAUCUCAGCAGGCUCGAAGAUGAGUAGGGUACUUCUCCUAUGAACAUUUCUAUGCGAUAUACUGCAAAUUUUGGGAGCUGGAUAUGGAUCAUGAUUUCUUGAUUGAUAAAGAGAAUCUUAUUAGAUAUGGUAACCAUGCUCUCACAUACAGGAUUGUUAACGGAAUUUUUUCACAGAUUCUAACAAACUAUUCCAACAUAGAGAGCUUCCACCCUAAGAGGUACGUUUGAACCCCACACGUUAGAACAAGGCUAACUACUUGGAUUUUGGUUAUAUAGCUAAUGAUACAAGUCCCAAUCAGAAUUCACUGAAGCCAAGGCUAAAAGCCUAUUGGUCCUUCAACAAAACAUUCCUAAAAUACCUCAACUACUACAAAUCAUUUAAUAAAGUUAAAAUGUUAUUAAAUAUCCCAUCCAAAGAUCCAAACACU